UGCACGGAAGAACACCAGGAAAGGCAUAGAGACAUGCGGUGUAUUAUGUGGUACCAUGGUCAAAGAAGAAUACCAUGUGACCCAUGUAAUUAUUCCUGUGCAGACAGCAGGCCCUGAUUAUUGUUAUGCCCAGAAGGAGGAAGAAAUAUUUUUUAAGCAAGAGGAACUGGGCCUUCUGACCUUAGGUUGGAUCCAUACCCAUCCAACCCAGACUGCCUUUUUGUCGAGUGUGGAUGUACACACACAUUUUUGCUACCAGAAGAUGCUGCCACAAUCAAUUGCAGUGGUGUGCGCACCCAAAUAUAAACA